AAGACUAUACUUUCAGGGAUCAUUUCUAUAGUUCGUUACUAGAGAAGUUUCUCUGAUCGUGUAGAGCACCCGAAACCACGAGGAGGAGGCGCAGCGUUCUCUCCUGAGCGUGAAGCCGGCUCUUGGUGUUGCUUCUGCAACUGCCAUUUGCCAUUGAUGAUCGUUCUUGUCUUCCCUUGGGAGGGCAAGAGGGAGAGGACGCAGUCUGAGUGGU
rnacentral:snoRNA from 1 species